rnacentral:tmRNA from 1 species
GGUCUUUUCAUUUGCCGUCGGCAUGCCUAUAUUCGUCCCGUCAGCUUGUCUGACUAUGGCGAUAAACUGCCGAUGUAAUAAGCCGUUCGGACCCGGGGGCGGUACCCGGCGCCUCCACCAUGAACUGCCCGCCUGGCGGUUUUUGAUGGGGGCGAAAUAGGAUCGACGAAGGUGUAAAGAUCGGACUUUUGCCCGGCAUUGUACCACCGUUAUCGGGCUAAACUUGUAGUUGCAAACGACAACUAUGCGGAAGCACGUCUCGCUGCGUAAUGCGGCUCGACAGCUUCAAUUCAAGUCCUAGCGGUUCGCACCUCUAGGCGGGGUUCGGAGGCACCUGGCAACAGAAGCCUCCACU